GGGCCCGCACAAGCGGUGGAGCAUGUGGUUCAAUUCGACGCAACGCGAAGAACCUUACCCAGGCUUGAACAGCGAGUGACCACUUACGAAAGUAAGCUUCCGCAAGGACACUCGUAGAGGUGCUGCAUGGCUGUCGUCAGCUCGUGUCGUGAGAUGUUGGGUUAAGUCCCGCAACGAGCGCAACCCUUGUCUGCUGUUGCCAUCACGUUAUGGUGGGCACUCUGCAGAGACUGCCGGUGAUAAACCGGAGGAAGGUGGGGAUGACGUCAAGUCAGCAUGGCCUUUAUGUCUGGGGCUACACACGUGCUACAAUGGCCGAUACAAACCGUCGCGAUACCGCAAGGUGGAGCUAAUCGGAGAAAGUCGGUCUCAGUUCGGAUUGUAGGCUGCAACUCGCCUGCAUGAAGUUGGAAUCGCUAGUAAUCGCGGAUCAGCACGCCGCGGUGAAUACGUUCCCGGGCCUU
rnacentral:rRNA from 1 species